rnacentral:lncRNA from 1 species
GGCUCAGCCGGUCUAGCAGGUGCUGACCUGCGAGAGAGUCUCAGGCUGGCAAUGGCCAUGGAGGAGCUGCGGCGAGGGCUGUCCCGCUGGAAGCGCUACCACAUCAAGGUACACCUAGCCGACGAGGCAUUGCUACUGCCACUGACCGUGCGGCCCCGAGACACACUGAGUGACCUGCGCGCACAGCUAGUGGGCCAGGGUGUAAGCUCUUGGCGCAGAACCUUCUACUACAACUCUAGGCCUCUGCCUGACCAUCAGACAGUUCGCGAAGCUCGCCUGCAGGACGGCUCAGUAUUACUUCUGCUCAGCGACACCAGGUAGGAAAUGGAGGAGAUGGAGCGAUGAUUUUAGGGACACAAGAUGCUGGCUGAAGGAGCAAACUGGCCCAGGCACCACAUCUCUCUCUUCCUGGGAGUCCAGUCGUACUUCAGGUGCUGGGCUUCCAGAGAGAUGCCAACUCCCCAGCCCUGCUGAUGCCCACUGCCUCUGGUGUUCCUGAUGGUGACUUCUGACAUUGUCGUCCAGCCCUCCAUCCCCCCAACCCCGGCAAGGAACCUUCUGGUUGCUCUGUGGCCUUAGGACCCUCCCUUGGGAGCCUCUGCUGCCUGGAUCGACCUCUGUCCAUCCCCAGAGCACAGCCUCCUCGGGGAAGCUCAACAGGCACACUUCCUUCUUUGGAGGACCCACGGGGCUCCAGCUACGAACAGAACAGGAGGACACUCUGAUCCAGGGGGGUCUUGGUGAGCCCAUAGGUGUGCAAAGUGGUCUGAGUAUUUCAGCACGUGCUGUGGGGGCUCUACUCCACAGCUCCAGUGUUGGGUGCUAUGUGACCCUGCCCCCCAUUGUCC